rnacentral:rRNA from 1 species
UACGGAGGUGCAAGCGUUAUCCGGAUUCACUGGGUUUAAAGGGUGCGUAGGUGGCUUUGUAAGUCAGUGGUGAAAGCCCGGAGCUCAACUCCGGAACUGCCAUUGAUACUGCUUAGCUUGAAUCAGGUCGAGGUGGAUGGAAUAUUACAUGUAGCGGUGAAAUGCUUAGAUAUGUAAUAGAACACCGAUUGCGAAGGCAGUUCACUAGGCCUGUAUUGACACUGAGGCACGAAAGCGUGGGGAUCAAACAGG